rnacentral:rRNA from 1 species
GCAAGUCGAGGGGUAUCAUAGAGAAGCUUGCUUUUCUGAUGACGACCGGCGCACGGGUGCGUAACGCGUAUGCAACCUACCCUUUACUGGGGGAUAGCCCGAAGAAAUUCGGAUUAAUACCCCAUAGUAAUUAUUAAUCGCAUGAUUUGAUAAUUUAAAGAUUACGGUAAAGGAUGGGCAUGCGUCCCAUUAGCUAGAUGGUAAGGUAACGGCUUACCAUGGCAACGAUGGGUAGGGGGCCUGAGAGGGUGAUC